ACGUAGGAGGCAAGCGUUAUCCGGAGUUACUGGGCGUAAAGCGUGCGCAGGCGGUGAUGUAAGACAGAUGUGAAAUCCCCGGGCUCAACCUGGGAACUGCGUUUGUGACUGCAUUACUCGAGUACGGCAGAGGGAGGUGGAAUUCCGCGUGUAGCAGUGAAAUGCGUAGAUAUGCGGAGGAACACCGAUGGCGAAGGCAGCCUCCUGGGCCAGUACUGACGCUCAUGCACGAAGGCGUGGGGAGCAAACAG
rnacentral:rRNA from 1 species